AGUGAACGCUGGCGGUAGGCCUAACACAUGCAAGUCGAACGGCAGCACAGUAAGAUCUUGCUCUUACGGGUGGCGAGUGGCGGACGGGUGAGGAAUACAUCGGAAUCUACUUUUUCGUGGGGGAUAACGUAGGGAAACUUACGCUAAUACCGCAUACGACCUACGGGUGAAAGCAGUGGAUCUUCGGACCUUGCGCGAUUGAAUGAGCCGAUGUCGGAUUAGCUAGUUGGCGGGGUAAAGGCCCACCAAGGCGACGAUCCGUAGCUGGUCUGAGAGGAUGAUCAGCCACACUGGAACUGAGACACGGUCCAGACUCCUACGGGAGGCAGCAGUGGGGAAUAUUGGACAAUGGGCGAAAGCCUGAUCCAGUCAUACCGCGUGGGUGAAGAAGGCCUUCGGGUUGUAAAGCCCUUUUGUUGGGAAAGAAAAGCAGCAGGUUAAUACCCCGCUGUUCUGACGGUACCCAAAGAAUAAGCAACGGCUAACUUCGUG
rnacentral:rRNA from 1 species